rnacentral:rRNA from 1 species
AGAGUUUGAUCAUGGCUCAGGAUUAACGCUGGCGGCGUGCAUAACACAUGCAAGUCGAACGAUGAAACUAAGUUGAUUUCUUCGGAAAGAUAUUUAGUGGAUUAGUGGCGGACGGGUGAGUAACACGUGAGUAACCUGCCUUACACAAGGGGAUAGCCGUUGGAAACGACGAAUAAUACCCUAUGACGUAAUAUUAUCGCAUGAUAAAAUUACCAAAGUGCUUAGUGGUGUAAGAUGGACUUGCGUCUGAUUAGCUAGUUGGUGAGAUAAAAGCUCACCAAGGCGACGAUCAGUAGCCGGCUUGAGAGAGUGUACGGCCACAUUGGGACUGAGACACGGCCCAAACUCCUACGGGAGGCAGCAGUGGGGAAUUUUGCACAAUGGGGGAAACCCUGAUGCAGCGACGCCGCGUGAUUUAGAAAGUCUUCGGAUUGUAAAAAUCUUUUGUAUAGGAAGAAAAUGACAGUACUAUACGAAUAAGGUCCGGCUAAUUACGUGCCAGCAGCCGCGGUAAUACGUAAGGACCGAGCGUUGUCCGGAAUCAUUGGGCGUAAAGGGUACGUAGGCGGCCCGUUAAGUUAGAAGUGAAAGGCUAUAGCUCAACUAUAGUAAGCUUUUAAAACUGUCGGGCUUGAGAGAUUGAGGGGAAAGUGGAAUUCCUAGUGUAGCGGUGAAAUGCGCAGAUAUUAGGAGGAAUACCAGUGGCGAAGGCGACUUUCUGGCAAUCAUCAGACGCUGAGGUACGAAAGCGUGGGUAGCAAACAGGAUUAGAUACC